UAUGUGAUCGUCUCUCGCAUAUCAAUAAGCGGAGGAAAAGAAACUAACAAGGAUUCCCCUAGUAACGGCGAGUGAAGCGGGAAGAGCUCAAAUUUGAAAUCUUAAAGGGUUUCCCUUUACGAAUUGUAGUUUAAAGAAGUGUUUUCUGUUGAGGUUUUGGUAAAAGUUCUUUGGAAUAGGACAUCAUAGAGGGUGAGAAUCCCGUAUUCGACCUUUACUUUCAACUUUGUGAUACACUUUCAAAGAGUCGGAUUGUUUGGGAAUGCAGUCCAAAAUGGGUGGUAAAUUUCAUCUAAAGCUAAAUAUUGGCGAGAGACCGAUAGCGAGCAAGUACCGUGAGGGAAAGAUGAAAAGAACUUUGAAAAGAGAGUUAAACAGUACGUGAAAUUGUCAAAAGGGAAGCGUUUGACACCAGUGUUGUUUUUCUGAAAAUCAAUUAAAGAACUGUUUAUGCUAAGUUGUUUAGACUUUAUCAGCUAACUGUUUAGUUUUGAGCUUUUCUUUAAUGCACUUUUCAGUUAACAAGUCAACAUCAAUUUCUUUUGCUGUAAAAAAGCUUGAGGAAGGUGGCUUGAGAUUCGUCUUAAGUGUUUAUAGCCUCUUGCCUAUGCAGUCGGAGAGAUUGAGGUCUGCAGCGUAGAUCCUUCGGGGCUAAAUGCAUUUGUGCUAAGUUAUAGCAUUUUAUAGACAACUUGUUGACUAUGAUUUGUCUUGUAGCUUACUCGCUUAUGUUAUUUUACCUACGCUUAGGAUGUUGAGCGCAUGUCUCUCUCU
rnacentral:rRNA from 1 species